rnacentral:rRNA from 1 species
CCUACGGGAGGCAGCAGUGAGGAAUAUUGGACAAUGGGCGCAAGCCUGAUCCAGCCAUGCCGCGUGCAGGAAGACGCAUCUAUGGUGUGUAAACUGCUUUUGUACGGGAAGAAACACUCCCUCGUGAGGGAGCUUGACGGUACCGUAAGAAUAAGGAUCGGCUAACUCCGUGCCAGCAGCCGCGGUAAUACGGAGGAUCCAAGCGUUAUCCGGAAUCAUUGGGUUUAAAGGGUCCGUAGGCGGUUUAAUAAGUCAGUGGUGAAAGCCCAUCGCUCAACGAUGGAACGGCCAUUGAUACUGUUAGACUUGAAUUACUAGGAAGUAACUAGAAUAUGUAGUGUAGCGGUGAAAUGCUUAGAUAUUACAUGGAAUACCAAUUGCGAAGGCAGGUUACUACUAGUGGAUUGACGCUGAUGGACGAAAGCGUGGGGAGCGAACAGGAUUAGAUACCCUGGUAGUCCACGCCGUAAACGAUGGAUACUAGCUGUUGGGCGCAAGUUCAGUGGCUAAGCGAAAGUGAUAAGUAUCCCACCUGGGGAGUACGUUCGCAAGAAUGAAACUCAAAGGAAUUGACGG